rnacentral:rRNA from 1 species
CUGGCGGCGUGCCUAACACAUGCAAGUCGAACGGAGAUGCAUUGGCGGAGACUCGGUCAACAACGGUGUAUUCUUAGUGGCGGACGGGUGAGUAACGCGUGAGCAAUUUGCCUUCAGAGGGGGAUAACAGAUUGAAAAGUCUGCUAAUACCGCAUAACGUGCGACGGGGGCAUCCCCGACGUACCAAAGGAGCAAUCCGCUGAGAGAUGAGCUCGCGUCUGAUUAGAUAGUUGGUGAGGUAACGGCCCACCAAGUCGACGAUCAGUAGCCGGACUGAGAGGUUGAACGGCCACAUUGGGACUGAGACACGGCCCAGACUCCUACGGGAGGCAGCAGUGGGGAAUAUUGCACAAUGGGCGCAAGCCUGAUGCAGCAACGCCGCGUGAGGGAAGACGGUCUUCGGAUUGUAAACCUCUGUCCUUGGUGACGAAACAAAUGACGGUAGCCGAGGAGGAAGCCACGGCUAACUACGUGCCAGCAGCCGC